rnacentral:rRNA from 1 species
AUUCCAGCUCCAAUAACGUAUAUUAAAGUUGUUGCGGUUAAAAAGCUCGUAGUUGGAUUUCUGUCGAAAGUGCUUGGUCCCCACUCUGUGGGCGCAUCUAAGUCGCUUUUGGCAUCCUCCUAUUUUUCGUUUGCUGCACUUAAUUGGGUGGCUUUCGGAGUAGGACUUUUACUUUGAGGAAAUUCGAGUGUUUACGGCAGGCAAUCGCCUUGUAGAUAUUAGCAUGGAAUAGUAAUAUAGGACCUUGGUUCUAUUUUGUUGGUUUCUAGGACUGAGGUAAUGAUUAAUAGGGAUAUUUGGGGGCAUUCGUAUUAACCGGUCAGAGGUGGAAUUCUUGGAUUCGGUUACGACGAACUACUGCGAAAGCAUUUGCCAAGAAUGUUUCCAUUA